rnacentral:rRNA from 1 species
CACGUAGGGCGCAAGCGUUGUCCGGAAUUAUUGGGCGUAAAGAGCGUGUAGGCGGCUCGAUCAGUCCGCUGUGAAAGUCCAGGGCUCAACCCUGGAAAGCCGGUGGAUACUGUCGGGCUAGAGUACGGAAGAGGCGAGUGGAAUUCCUGGUGUAGCGGUGAAAUGCGCAGAUAUCAGGAGGAACACCAAUGGCGAAGGCAGCUCGCUGGGACGAUACUGACGCUGAGACGCGAAAGCGUGGGGAGCGAACAGG